AGGUUAACAGCUUCAUGGCAGCAUCAGGUAUCAUCAGGGUCCAGCCUGUAACACUAAUUGGAAGGCAGAUUUAAAUCCAACAGAAUGCUAAGUAGGUUGCAUAUAAUGAAGGCACAUCUGUUCUUAUCUGUUCUAAUAAGCAUGGUCUAUUUAUUCUUAUAAUGACAUUGUUUGAAGUGCUUUCUGGGUGAGAAAUGAAUAACAAAAGUUUACAGUCAGCUUUGUGUGCGCUGACAGAGACAAUGUUUUUCUUAUUAUUAUUCAGGAGGUGACAUCCUGAGGAUGUACAGAGCUCACAGGGGUACUGAGGGUGAAUCUCUCCUUAAAGUUGUCAGAUUGAGGUUGGGUAAAGGUAAGCAGCAAAUACAAUGAAAUGAAUAAUUACAAUACAAUAUCUCUUCUGGACUUCAAAUAUAUGUUUACUAGUCUUCUUGCUGAGAGUUCCACUCUUACAGUAAAAAUGGUACUACCGCUAGUGGCCAGUUAGCUAUCAGCUAAAUAAAUCUAGCUAUCAGCACCUCUUAAGCUCACUUAUGUUUUGUUCAUGUUCUUUUGUUUGCGGUUUCAGGGGGAUUAUGGCGGACAAUAGUGAUGACAAACCCACUGUAAAACCAGUUUUUACGCUUUUUUGUUCUCAAGCCACAGCAUGUUAAUUAGUGAGCUUCUCAGACUUCACACCUUACACUACACUAGACUACACUCACUACUUUAAGGUGGAUUUUGUUACACUUGGACAGAGCCAAGCCAACUCAGCUGUUUACUCCAUUUCCAGUCUUCGUGCUUAACUUGCUGCUGGCUGUAGCUAUGUUUAACAGACAGAUAUGAGGGUGCUUUUGAUCGUAUCAUCUAACUCUCAGAUAGAAAGCAGUAUUUCCCAAAAUAUCAAAACUAUAGUUUCAUAGAGAAUUUCACUGCAUGACUGAGACUACAUUUUUUUCUGUUGCAAAUAUCCCCAAACCUGUCUGAUAAUACCUAAAAUUAUACAUGAAAAGAUUAUCUUAGAACAGGUUGCCUGCAUGUGGAGAUUUUGAACGAGAAAAGCUGUUAAACUUUAGAUGUAAAGUAGACCCUGCAGCCAUUACAUUUUAUACAUCUAGGUGUGCCUCAUUUCAGUUUUAAAUAGAUUAAAACUGAAAUGAAUCGAUUUGAUUUCUUUGUUUUUUUUUUCAUGAAAACUAAAGGAAUUCUUUGAGAAAAAGAUCAAAUGCUACCAGUAGUUUGCAGAAAAAGAAAACCUCUAAGGGUAUUUUAAAUUCAUUUCUUGGAACAGAAUUUCCUUUCAUGCACUGGAUUUGAAAGACAGCUUUUAAACAUGAAAGAUGCACCGCCAAAAUAAAGCUGACACUAAGCAAACAGGGUCACACAGACCCCCCAAAAAACAGCCUCAGGGGAGGAUUCACAAACUACACCUAUAGAUCAGCAACAAAUAUUGGUCUGAUUAUACACUUCAGUAACUAUUGUUUAAAGGCUGUGAAAAUUGCUCAAAGGAAAGACGCCAAUCGGGGCCAAACAGAGUUUUAUUUUGGUAUGUUUUCUCAGUAGCAAAGCAAACAUUUUCCUGGUGCUCUACAAAUGCUGCAGAGACACUGGAUACACAAAUGAAGGCCAAGAAACCAAAUGACAAACACAUACCAAAUGUCAAACACACACCAAAUGUCAAAAGCUGCCGGAGGGGGUCAGAGUAAACCUGAAAUGAUUUUAGUCCCGUGUUUUACUGUGUUUGGUGAAUCCAGCAGACUUAAAAUAAUCAACCAACCAUCAGAAGUUUGUGAAUAGAUUUCUUUGUGUUUUGACUGAAUUCUGAGACCGUCUUCCGCUCCUAUCCCUGUGCAUUUCUCCCUCAUUCAUAAGCUCUUUUCGGUUGCCUCUUUUUCUUCCUAUUUCUUUAUAUAAUGGACUGAUUUUGACAAAACUUGGAGUGACGAUGCACCAGUGCAAGGCUUUAAAGCCUGGGUUGGUGAUGGCUAAAUGAAGAGCUGUAAUUAAAUGUCAGAAUUUGAAACCCAGAUGUGUCUCAGACUCAGACAUUGUUCCAAUCUUGGAAAAACCUUUUUUGCCCAUGUUUCCUGUUGUUUACAUGCUGUGUAUGGUAGUGGAAUAAUUAAAGGUUAACAUUGCCUUCUACAAAAGGCCUUGACCCUAACACAUCCACUAAAUGUCAAAAGUUAAGUGCAGUUGGUAGAAUUUUUUAGAAAACUUGCAGGCACAGUGUAUUUUGGCAUUGUGACAUUUUUAAAAGAAGGUUAGUCUGACUCGGGCAAUAUAAUUGUCAAAAUUGUAAAGAAAAUCUCUGAAGUGAUGUAUCUGUUAGCAACAGGCUGUUUUACUGAUAUCACACAUAAUGCCUCCUGAGGAACAGAGCAGAACUUGUAACCAGACCAAAUUCCUUUUCGCAAGUUCGUCACUCAUCAGUCGGUGUGCUGUGAACCUCAAUGGCUUUUUCCUCACUGCCUUUUCGGAGCUAUAGGGGACAGAUGUGUGAGAAAUGUGUCUGAGCUGUUACAACAACAGCUGCAACUGUUUGAUGACGCUGAGAACUUCUUCAUUCAAGGAUGGAAAAUAGGAGGGAUCAACUCUGUCUUUUCAGUUGUAUUUGAUUCAAUGUUUGUGUGAGGGAGAUGGAGAGAUCAUAGAUGGAGACUAAGCCUUUUUUCCCUCCUUGUCUUUCUCUCAGCGUAUUUGCGACCGAUAUUGGCUGUGAAACUGGAUUCUGGAAAGGCUCACUGCUUUCCUUUUCACAGACGCUUUUAAGAACUUGUUAAGUAUGUGUAAAUGGAGGUGCAGAGAAAUUCUUCAAACAUCUAAUGGUGCAAAAACGUGUAUCUCAAGAUAGCUCCACUAUUUACUUUAGUUUCUGGAUGCAGUCAAUGGUCUGCAGGAAGCAUUGGUCCAGAACGAGGGAAUACCUCUGAGGAGAAGGAUGGAGAAAGGAGUCAUUCAAACCUGGAAUGACAAAUAGUCCAAUGGGGACCUGCCAAUCUCCCACAGGGUCCUGGAAGAAAUAGUGCGGUAUUUGAAGCAGCACACUAACUCAGCCAUGGUUUUAAAUUAAGCGUGAUGUGGA